CUUGAAGACAGACCUGGAGGGGUCCGGGGUGGCCGUGAAGAAGUGGACGCAGGGCAAGGCAGGGUCCUGGGGCAGCACGGACACCAUGCUGCCUGCUGUGCGGAAACCCUCCGAGUCCACGCAGAUGCCGCUGUCCUUAUCCCGCAGGAUGGCCAUGAACGUCUCUGCUGUGAUGCGUCCUGCGUGCUGCUGCAGCAGCUCCUUGCCAGCACGAUAGCGGCUCUUGGCAGCCUCCAUGCGUGGCGGCUGCUGUGCCAGGGAGAAAACCUCAGCAAAGCUGAACUGGCCGACCCCGCUCCACCAGCCCUGGCUCUGGGCUCGCUGCCGCAGCCCUGGGUGCUCAGCUGUGAUGUCCGUCCCGAUGCUGAGCUGGUUGGAGAUGUUGCGGCUGCCCUCUUGGAUCCGUUGGGCUGCCCAGUAGCGGCCGGCCGUCUCCAGCACCCAGGCCUCGUGGCGGUCAGCCAGCAGGAAGGUGUUGUGGUACACAAAGGGUAUCGGCUCCUCCUUGCAGCUCCCACCCUGCCCGUGCUGCUCCAGCAGCGCCGUGAUCACCUCCAGCGCUUCCCUG
rnacentral:lncRNA from 1 species